rnacentral:lncRNA from 1 species
UCAGACUAGGGUAUAAUUUGUUUUAUUUUUCAUGGGAAUGUAAAAUUAGUUGAAUGAAACAUCAUUGGAUCUUGAUGCAUUAAAUAUUAUAGCAGUGCUAAGGAUACUUAUUCUAAAACAACAUAAACAGAUAACCAUUUGUAUAAAAUCGUUAAAAGGAAUGUUUUACUAACCAGAAACAAAGUAAGAUGAAAGUCCACCACAUACUACUACUCCUACCAUAAUGGUGUAAUAAUUGGAAAAUAUGUAUUUGUACUAGCUUUAUUAUUUUAUAUUAUUAAUUGUGGUUCUCUAUAGUUCUUUUUCAUUCAGAUAAAUCAGUAGGCUUAAUUUCAGGUGUGUCAGCUAGUUACAGGGUUAAUAUGUUACUAUGAUACUAUUUCUUGUCAGUCAUAUUCUGUAUUUUCAAUACAGAUUAUUUUUUUGGGAAGGAUUAUUUUUUUGAGGUCGUCACUUUAGCUGUUAGAGCCAGAACAACAAUUCAGAUUUCUAGGCUUCAGUCCUGUCUUAAUCUGUUUUGUGUUGUUGUAAUGGAAUGCCUGAGACAGUAAUUUAUAAUGGACAAAAUUAUUUGACUCAUGUUAUGGAGGCUAGAAAAUCCAAUAUCAGGGUGCUGGCAGGACCUUCUUUCUAGGAUGCUGCUUAUCCCAUGGCAGAGUUCAAGAGAGAGAGGUGAUGGGGAGAAAACGGGGGUGAUAAGGAGCUUAAUGCCAGCCUUGUGUGAGCUGUAACAAUUUAAUCAUUCAGGUCCUCUGGCAAGUAGUGUUAUAGAAAUUGGAUCAUACCAUUAUUUGUUGUUUUUAUUUUGGCUUUUAAAAUGAAUGAACCAUGUGUCCUCCUUUUAAGUGAUUUUAGGAAGAGCAAAUGAUAAGGAUGGACUGUAACAUUUUUUCCAGUUACUUAAUUUCACUUUAAGAAUAGUGAUUUUUAUUUGUUUUAAAAUUUCCUGAGUGAGGGUUGUUAGGCAAAAUGGACUCCAUAGAGUGUAUCAUAUUUUCCUGUCACUUUAGUGUCUCAGAAUUAAACCAUCAUUUUAUGUGGAAGCAUAGCUCCGCUUUGCUCUACUGCAAGGCUUGGAAUUCAUACAGCAUCACUUCUGCUGCUUUUGUUGGAGGUAAUCAGAAAGUUCCACCCAAAUUCAAAGGGAGCAGAAAUAGACCAUGCCUCUUCAUGGAGGAAUGGCCAGGUUCUGAAAAAGCAUUUGGACCAAUAUUAUUCAUGUGGUCAUUUUUGGAAAAUACAGUUUGCUACAGAAGGGAGAGCAAGAGCAGAUGCUGGAAGAUCAGUAACAUGCUUCUAAUAGUCUAGGAAGGAUUUGAUGGUAGUGGAAGUGGAGGUUGUAAGAAGUAGAUAAUACAAAAGGUGUGCCGAAGUAUGGAUAGCAUCUGUUGAUUGAAAAGAUGUGGAUGGUGAAGGAGAUGUAUAUGUCAGGGAUGAUGCCCAUGUUUCUGACGGAAGGCUAAGGUCAACUUUCAGUGAUUGAUUAGAGAGGGCUACAUGAGCAAGCAAGGCUGAGAAGGACUAACCUGAGAGAUUGGAAGAAAACAAAGAGGUUGUAUGUCAUGGAAACCUGAGGUAGAAAGUAUUUCAUAGGUGUGCCAGUGCCUUUACUUUCUGCUUUCUCUUUCUACCUAGAAGACCACCCUAAUUUUGUUUUCGUUGUAUUUUUAACC